AUUGGAUAUUUGCAGUCACCUUGGUAACAGUAGGUUCUACUUUAUAGUUUGAGAUCAAACUGAAUUCUAAUUGCUUUGGCUGCUUAACAAAUUAUUCCAAAAUUUAGUGAUAUAAACUACCAUUUAUAAUGAUCACAGAUUUUGUGAGUCAGGAAUUCAGACAGGGCACAGUGGGGAGACUCACCUUGGUGGGGCAGCUUGAAGCCCGGUGCUAGAAUCAUUUGAAAUAUCACUCGGGGUGCCUUGGUGGCUCAGUUGGUUAAGUGUACGACUUUGGCUCAGGUCAUGAUCUCAUACUUCAUGAGUUCAGGCCCUGUGUCAGGCUCUGAGCUGACAGCUUGGAGCCUGGAGCCUGCUUCGGAUUCUGUGUCUCCCUCUCUCUCUGCCCCUCCCCUGCUCACUCUCCGUCUCUCAAAAAUAAAUAAACAUUAAAAAAAAGAAAGAAACAUCACGUGCUCACCCACUCACAGGCUUGCUUGUCGAUGCUGGGAAGAUUCAAGAUCUGAGGGCUCCUCUAACCUCUCUCUCCAUGUGUCUCUCUAUCUGGUCUCUCCAGUAGGGCAGUUUCAGGGUAGUUGGACUUCUUACAUGUCAGCUCAGACUCCAAAGUGCAGGUCUGGAGAAAGAGAGCAAGAUGGAAACCAUGGUAACUUCUAUGACCUUGUCUCAAAAGUUGUGUAGCAUCAAUCCACUCCAUUCUAUUGCUCAAGGAGUACAAAGUUCUGCUUAAGUUCAAGGGGAGGGAACAUAGACUCCAUUUCUUGAUGGAGGAGUGUCAACGUUAUAUUACAUUGUAAGAAGGCUAUAUGGGAUGGGAUAUGAACUGGUUCAUGCUCCAUCCUGGACAUUCACCAUUUCUCCAGGGCCUGUGGGGAUUCCAGGAUGUGGAGGCAAAGAAAUAUGAGGGAAAAGGAAUUCAGAAUGGAAGAAAAAAUGUAUGCAAUUUCUUCACUCUGCUGGGCAUAGCUUGGGCUCCUGACACCUUGCAGAAACAUUUGGAGGUGCCACAGAAGAGAAACAGGAAACAACUCAACACCAAAAAACCCCUCAAAUAAUCUGACGGAAAAAUAUAGAGGACCUGAAUAGACGUUUUGCCAAAGAAGACAUACAGAUGGCAAAUGGACACAUGAAAAGAUGCUCAACAUAACUCAUCAUUAGGGAAAUGCACAUCAAAACCACGGUGAGAUAUCAUCUUACACCUGUCAGAACAAAAUAGCUAGAAUCAAAAAGAUAAGAAAUAAGCACUGGCGAGGCUGUGGAGAAGAAAGAACUCUUCUUCAUUGCUGGUGGGAAUGCAAAUAGGUAUAGUCACUGUGGCAAACAGUAUGGAGGUUCCUCAAAAAAUUAAAAAUAGAAAUAUUAUAUGAUCCAGUAAUUAUACUACUGGAUAUUUACUUAAAGAAGACAAAAAUACUAAUUCGAAAAGAUACAUGCACCCCUAGGUAUGGAAGCAACCCACGUCCAUAUGUAGAUGAAUGGAUAAAGAAGAUGUGGUACAUACACACACACACACACACACACACACACACACACACACACACACAGUCUGGAAAAGCAAAAUGAAUAAAGCUUGUUUACGCUAGAGAACA
ensembl:lncRNA